AAAACUCUAUAAAUUAAUAAUGUUGGGACCAUAAAAUUUUAUUAAUUUAUAUUGAUAUUAAUUU
rnacentral:sRNA from 1 species